CAAAUCCUGAACAGUUUACUGAUACUAAAACAGCUUCAGCAACACGUAACAAAUCUACUAGAUGUUUUCCUCCAAAAUUUUCAUCAUGCAAGUAUUUGUCAUCAAGCUCAGAAUCAUACACUACUUUAGAUGUUAUGUAACAGACUGUGGAAGGUUAACACAGGCAUAUCAAGGCAUGUUAAACUCCUACCAUAUCAUUCUAUUAUGAUAUGGCAGCACAAGUGUUCCACUGGACAGGUGUCUCCAUGUUUGAGCAGCUGCAGAUCAGCUGUAGAGCAUCUUCACAGUUUAGGUGGUUAUAACUCAACAUGUUUUCCUGAAUUCCAUACAUAUAACUCCUAUUUUUAUUCUUCUAGUAUAACAGGUGAGUUGAAAGAUUUUUAAAAAUGGCACUUGUUAAUCUAAACUACAAUUUUAAUGAAAGCUGUAGAUAUGAUGACAUUUUUUAGUCCUUUUAGCUCAUAUUGCUAACCAUAGAGGAAUAAUUACUAGUUUCCAUCUUCAGAAUUGGAAUUCAUGGCAUAUAUGCAUUACAUGUAUUCAAUUUACUUUCAAGAGUAAAAUCUGUAAAAGCAAAUUUUCUUGAACCUUGUAUUUUAAGGACCAAAAUACAAAAAGCUUCCCAAUAAUUUUCACACGUAUAACCUGAGAGUCCAGUCCUCCAUACAAUAUCAAGAUAUAAACCAUUUCUUAUCAAAAAUCUUACUCAAGCUGGCCAUUGCCACUUAGUCGCUGUGCAUCACUUAAAGGUUUAUGUAGUCAUAAUGAUACUAAAUACGUAGGUAAAUCAUAAAUCUGAUUUCUCAAAUACGACCAGAUGCUGUAUCAAAUGUUAUAAAUGAAGACUAGAAUGAGUACUUAGUUUUCAAUAUUUUCAUCUUAAAUACCAACUAGGCUUCAACCUGAAUGUCAGAAAUGUGAGUUGAGAGCUUAAACUAAAACAUGCACAAACACUUGCACAGGGUCUGUUAAAACAAUAUCAUUAGAGGAAGCAGUGUUAGGUAGAUAAACGGACAUGUUAAAAUCAAUAUAUGCCUUGAAAAGUUGGUUAAAAAUUUAAAUACUUUAUACUAUGAGAAAAAACAGCUUUUAUGUCCAUAACCAGAACUUCAGUUCAACCUGCCAAUCCGCAGACCAUUCAAAAUGAUCCAGAUUUGACAUGACUUGAUAUUCUGUUCGGUACUUUGCACAGCAUAUUGCAAAGAGCCAUUACACAUCCACUUUUUGUAAGCCAGCAAAGUUACAUUCUGGCUAGAUCUAUGCCACCAUCAAAAUAACUCAUGCAACAGUGACAAAGUCAUUCACAAGUAACACAAUGCUGCAUCAAGAAAAAAAAAAUAAAAAUAAUAACAUCACUGGUCUUAGUGAGUGUUUCUAUUGCAGUUUAUAGCUACGAGCAAUCUGUAACAAGGAUAUGGCUUGCAAGUUCUUUCACUCAUAUUCUUUAUAAGACCUGUAUAUCUGCUGAACACUAUUACACCUAAUAGAUUUUCAGAAAGUGCAAUUUCAGUCAACAGUAUCCUAUUUCUUUGAAUCAUUAAAAAAAAAAAAAAAUCCAUGAAAAAAGUCACACUGUCAACAAAAUAUUU